rnacentral:rRNA from 1 species
UACGUAGGGUGCGAGCGUUAAUCGGAAUUACUGGGCGUAAAGGGUGCGCAGGCGGCCGUGUGUGUCAGGUGUGAAAUCCCGGGGCUCAACCCCGGAACUGCGCCUGAAACUACAUGGCUAGAGUAUUGGAGAGGGUAGCGGAAUUCACGGUGUAGCAGUGAAAUGCGUAGAUAUCGUGAGGAACACCAGAGGCGAAGGCGGCUACCUGGACAAUUGCUGACGCUCAGGCACGAAAGCGUGGGGAGCAAAAGGG